rnacentral:rRNA from 1 species
CUACGGGACGCAGCAGUGGGGAAUAUUGCACAAUGGGCGCAAGCCUGAUGCAGCCAUGCCGCGUGUAUGAAGAAGGCCUUCGGGUUGUAAAGUACUUUCAGCGGGGAGGAAGGGAGUAAAGUUAAUACCUUUGCUCAUUGACGUUACCCGCAGAAGAAGCACCGGCUAACUCCGUGCCAGCAGCCGCGGUAAUACGGAGGGUGCAAGCGUUAAUCGGAAUGACUGGGCGUAAAGCGCACGCAGGCGGUUUGUUAAGUCAGAUGUGAAAUCCCCGGGCUCAACCUGGGAACUGCAUCUGAUACUGGCAAGCUUGAGUCUCGUAGAGGGGGGUAGAAUUCCAGGUGUAGCGGUGAAAUGCGUAGAGAUCUGGAGGGAUACCGGUGGCGAAGGCGGCCCCCUGGACGAAGACUGACGCUCAGGUGCGAAAGCGUGGGGAGCAAACAGGAUUAGAUACCCUAGUAGUC